UGGGGAAUAUUGGACAAUGGGCGCAAGCCUGAUCCAGCCAUGCCGCGUGGAUGAAGAAGGCCCUAGGGUUGUAAGGUCCUUUCGACGGAGACGAUAAUGACGGUAUCCGUAGAAGAAGCCCCGGCUAAUUUCGUGCCAGCAGCCGCGGUAAUACGAAAGGGGCUAGCGUUGUUCGGAAUUACUGGGCGUAAAGCGCACGUAGGCGGUCGUGUAAGAUGGGGGUGAAAUCCCGGAGCUCAACUCCGGAACUGCCUUCAUGACUGCAUGGCUAGAGGAUGCGAGAGGUUGGCGGAAUUCCGAGUGUAGAGGUGAAAUUCGUAGAUAUUCGGAAGAACACCAGUGGCGAAGGCGGCCAACUGGCGCAUUUCUGACGCUGAGGUGCGAAAGCGUGGGGAGCAAACAGGAUUAGAUACCCAUGUAGUCCCUGAGCGGGCUGGCAAGGCGCAU
rnacentral:rRNA from 1 species